rnacentral:tRNA from 1 species
GCCUUCGUGGUGUAACGGUUAACACACUCGGCGCGUACUCGAGAGGUCCAGGUUCGAGUCCCUGUCAGGGCA